GAAAUGCGAUACGUAAUGUGAUCUGCAUAUGCCCGUGAGUCAUUGAAUCUUUGAACGCAUAUUGCACUUUCUAGUUUACUAGAGAGUAUAACUGUUUGAGUAUGGUAAAAUUUAUUAUUCAAAAUUAUUUUUUGAAUAUUGUUGAGUUUUUCUAGUUUAACUAGUAACUUUAAAUAAAUUUGUUGAUUUAAUGUAAAAGCUUUUAUAGCUUUAUUAUAUUUUACAAUCACACUAGUUAAGUGUUUGGUAGUUUUUAUAAUAAAGUAAAAGUUCAAUUAAAUCUUAUAGACAUUCACGUCUAUACCCCAAAUCCACACCCAUCUCAAAUCAGUUAAGGCUACCCGCUGAACUUAA
rnacentral:misc_RNA from 1 species